rnacentral:rRNA from 1 species
UACGUAGGGUGCAAGCGUUAAUCGGAAUUACUGGGCGUAAAGCGUGCGCAGGCGGUUGUGCAAGACAGAUGUGAAAUCCCCGGGCUUAACCUGGGAACUGCAUUUGUGACUGCAUGGCUGGAGUGCGGCAGAGGGGGAUGGAAUUCCGCGUGUAGCAGUGAAAUGCGUAGAUAUGCGGAGGAACACCGAUGGCGAAGGCAAUCCCCUGGGCCUGCACUGACGCUGAUGCGCGAAAGCUAGGGUAGCAAACGGG